CUGGGAUCCGUAUAAAAAACAACACAUCACUCAGGUUGAGCAGGUACAGCGUAAGGCAGCCAGGUUUGUCUUCAAUGAUUAUAAAGACAGUCAGAUCACCUGGAGCAGUUUCAAAUUUAAUUAAAUCAUUGGAAUGGGAAAAUUUAGAAAUAAGAAGGAAAAAAGCUAGAUUAACUAUGCUGUAUAAAAUAAAUUGGGGGUUAGUUGAAGUUCCUAAGGACAAUUUAACAAUAUCUGAUAGACAUACUAGGGGGAAACAUAAAUUUAGGCAAAUAUCAACAAAUAAAGAUUUCUAUAAAUUUUCAUUUUAUCCUCGCACUAUUUCGGACUGGAACUCACUACCUGAAGCAGUAGGUAUGUCUGACACCCUGGAAUCCUUCAAAAGUGGCAUAUCCACUCUAACAUUUGAAGGAUCCACAACAACUUAUUAAACUACAAAGCCAC
rnacentral:lncRNA from 1 species